CCUACGGGUGGCAGCAGUGAGGAAUAUUGGUCAAUGGGCGCGAGUCUGAACCAGCCAAGUAGCGUGAAGGAUGACUGCCCUACGGGUUGUAAACUUCUUUUAUACAGGAAUAAAGUCAGGCACGCGUGCCUUUCUGUAUGUAUUUUAUGAAUAAGGAUCGGCUAACUCCGUGCCAGCAGCCGCGGUAAUACGGAGGAUCCGAGCGUUAUCCGGAUUUAUUGGGUUUAAAGGGUGCGUAGAUGGGUUGUUAAGUCAGUGGUGAAAGUUUGCGGCUCAACCGUAAAAUUGCAUUUGAUACUGGCAGUCUUGAGUACAGUUGAGGUAGGCGGAAUGCGUGGUGUAGCGGUGAAAUGCUUAGAUAUCACGAAGAACUCCGAUUGCGAAGGCAGCUUACUAAGCUGCCACUGACAUUGAUGCACGAAAGUGUGGGUAUCAAACAGGAUUAGAUACCCGCGUAGUC
rnacentral:rRNA from 1 species